rnacentral:rRNA from 1 species
UUCCUACGGGGGGCAGCAGUAGGGAAUAUUGCUCAAUGGGGGAAACCCUGAAGCAGCAACGCCGCGUGGAGGAUGAAGGUUUUCGGUAUGUAAACUUCUAUCAGCAGGGAAGAAAAUGACGGUACCUGACUAGGAAGCCCCGGCUAACUACGUGCCAGCAGCCGCGGUAAUACGUAGGGGGCAAGCGUUAUCCGGAUUUACUGGGUGUAAAGGGAGCGUAGGCGGUUUAGCAAGUAAGAAGUGAAAGCCCGGGGCUCAACUCCGGGACUGCUUUUGAAACUGUUGAACUAGAU